UACGGAGGUGGCAAGCGUUGAUCGGAAUCACUGGGCGUAAAGGGCGCGUAGGCGGGGAGGUAAGUCGGGUGUGAAAUCCCUCGGCCCAACCGAGGAACUGCGCCCGAGACUGUUUCUCUUGAGUCCCGGAGAGGAAGAUGGAAUUCCCGGUGUAGCGGUGAAAUGUGUAGAGAUCGGGAGGAACACCGGUGGCGAAGGCGGGAUCCUGGGCCAGUACUGACGCUGAGGAGCGAAAGCGUGGGGAGCGAACAGG
rnacentral:rRNA from 1 species